UGGGGAAUUUUGGACAAUGGGGGAAACCCUGAUCCAGCCAUCCCGCGUGUGCGAUGAAGGCCUUCGGGUUGUAAAGCACUUUUGGCAGGAAAGAAACGUCGCGGGUUAAUACCCCGCGAAACUGACGGUACCUGCAGAAUAAGCACCGGCUAACUACGUGCCAGCAGCCGCGGUAAUACGUAGGGUGCAAGCGUUAAUCGGAAUUACUGGGCGUAAAGCGUGCGCAGGCGGUUCGGAAAGAAAGAUGUGAAAUCCCAGAGCUUAACUUUGGAACUGCGUUUUUAACUACCGGGCUAGAGUGUGUCAGAGGGAGGUGGAAUUCCGCGUGUAGCAGUGAAAUGCGUAGAUAUGCGGAGGAACACCGAUGGCGAAGGCAGCCUCCUGGGAUAACACUGACGCUCAUGCACGAAAGCGUGGGGAGCAAACAGGAUUAGAUACCCUGGUAGUCCACGCCCUAAACGAUGUCAACUAGCUGUUGGGGCCUUCGGGCCUUGGUAGCGCAGCUAACGCGUGAAGUUGACCGCCUGGGGAGUACGGUC
rnacentral:rRNA from 1 species